rnacentral:rRNA from 1 species
UCGAGAAUCUUCGGCAAUGGGCGCAAGCCUGACCGAGCGACGCCGCGUGGAGGACGAAGGCCUUCGGGUUGUAAACUCCUGUCGAGGGGGAGGAAGGCACGGCAACGUGCUUGACCGAUCCCUGGAGGAAGCACGGGCUAAGUUCGUGCCAGCAGCCGCGGUAAGACGAACCGUGCGAACGUUAUUCGGAAUCACUGGGCUUAAAGCGCGUGUAGGCGGAUCGGCACGUCCGUGGCUGAAAGCCCCCGGCUCAACCGGGGAAGUGGCGCGGAUACGGCCGAUCUGGAGGGGGGUAGGGGGACCUGGAACUUCCGGUGGAGCGGUGAAAUGCGUUGAGAUCGGAAGGAACGCCCGUGGCGAAAGCGAGGUCCUGGACCCUUUCUGACGCUGAGACGCGAAAGCCAGGGGAGCGAACGG